rnacentral:rRNA from 1 species
GUGGGGAAUCUUGCGCAAUGGGCGAAAGCCUGACGCAGCCAUGCCGCGUGGAUGAUGAAGGUCUUAGGAUUGUAAAAUUCUUUCACCGGGGACGAUAAUGACGGUACCCGGAGAAGAAGCCCCGGCUAACUUCGUGCCAGCAGCCGCGGUAAUACGAAGGGGGCUAGCGUUGCUCGGAAUUACUGGGCGUAAAGGGCGCGUAGGCGGAUCGUUAAGUCAGGGGUGAAAUCCCAGAGCUCAACUCUGGAACUGCCCUUGAUACUGGCGAUCUUGAGUGUGAGAGAGGUAUGUGGAACUCCGAGUGUAGAGGUGAAAUUCGUAGAUAUUCGGAAGAACACCAGUGGCGAAGGCGACAUACUGGCUCAUUACUGACGCUGAGGCGCGAAAGCGUGGGGAGCAAACAGGAUUAGAUACCCUAGUAGUCC